UGACAUUCAUUUUAUAAUAUAUUGUAAUGUGAUUUCUUCACUUUCAUUAUACAGGUUUUGGCCACAAAACAAUCAGUGCAAAAAAUACUGGAUCCAGAUUACAUCAUUAUAUUCUGCAUAAAAAACAACGUCUGUUCAAAUAAAACACGACGUUAUUGUGAACCAUUUAUUCAGCAUAUUUACCGACGUCUUAAAGCAACAUAACAAUGAAGAACCACGACGCUAUUGUGAAGCAAUUAUCCAGGAUAUCACGUCGGGGAAGGAUU
rnacentral:lncRNA from 1 species